rnacentral:tRNA from 1 species
UCUCUGGUAGCUCAGUGGUAAAGAAUCUGCCUGCAAUGCAGGAGACCCAGGUUCGAUCCCUGUGUCAGGAA